GAGACAGCAGCCGCCACGGUAAUACGAAGGGGGCUAGCGUUGCUCGGAAUCACUGGGCGUAAAGGGUGCGUAGGCGGUCUUUAAGUCAGGGGUGAAAUCCUGGAGCUCAACUCCAGAACUGCCUUUGAUACUGAAGAUCUUGAGUUCGGGAGAGGUGAGUGGAACUGCGAGUGUAGAGGUGAAAUUCGUAGAUAUUCGCAAGAACACCAGUGGCGAAGGCGGCUCACUGGCCCGAUACUGACGCUAAGGCACGAAAGCGUGGGGAGCAAACAGGAUUAGAUACCCCCGUAGUCCCUGUCUCUUAUACC
rnacentral:rRNA from 1 species